rnacentral:rRNA from 1 species
UACGGAGGGGGCUAGCGUUGUUCGGAAUUACUGGGCGUAAAGCGCACGUAGGCGGCUGUUCAAGUCAGAGGUGAAAGCCCGGAGCUCAACUCCGGAACUGCCUUUGAAACUAGACAGCUUGAAUCAUGGAGAGGCGGGUGGAAUUCCGAGUGUAGAGGUGAAAUUCGUAGAUAUUCGGAAGAACACCAGUGGCGAAGGCGGCUCACUGGACGACUGUUGACGCUGAGGUGCGAAAGCGUGGGGAGCAAACAGG